rnacentral:rRNA from 1 species
AUGGCAGCCAUGGCCACCACCGCUUCCAGCCUCCUCAAGACCUCCUUCUCCGGCGUCCGCCUCCCGGCGGCGGCCCGCACCCCGUCCUGCGUCGCCACCCCGCGCGCCGGCGCCAUCUGCAACUCCAUCUCCUCCUCCACCCCUCCCUACGACCUCAACGCCUUCAAGUUCAGCCCCAUCAAGGAGUCCAUCGUGUCCCGCGAGAUGACCCGCCGCUACAUGACCGACAUGAUCACCUACGCCGACACCGACGUUGUCAUCGUCGGCGCCGGCUCCGCGGGGCUGUCCUGCGCGUACGAGCUCUCCAAGGACCCCUCCAUCAGCAUCGCCAUCAUCGAGCAGUCCGUGUCCCCCGGCGGCGGCGCCUGGCUCGGCGGCCAGCUCUUCUCCGCCAUGGUCGUGCGCAAGCCGGCGCACCUCUUCCUCGACGAGCUCAACAUCGAGUACGACGAGCAGGAGGACUACGUCGUCAUCAAGCACGCCGCGCUCUUCACCUCCACGGUCAUGAGCCGCCUCCUCGCGCGCCCCAACGUGAAGCUCUUCAACGCCGUCGCCGUGGAGGACCUCAUCGUCAAGGAGAACCGCGUUGCCGGCGUCGUCACCAACUGGGCGCUCGUCUCCAUGAACCACGACACACAGUCCUGCAUGGACCCCAACGUCAUGGAGGCCAAGGUCGUGGUGAGCUCCUGCGGCCACGACGGGCCCUUCGGCGCCACCGGGGUCAAGCGGCUCCAAGACAUCGGCAUGAUCCAGGCGGUGCCCGGGAUGAAGGCGCUCGACAUGAACACCGCCGAGGAUGCCAUCGUGCGCCUCACCCGCGAGGUGGUCCCCGGCAUGAUUGUCACCGGCAUGGAGGUCGCCGAGAUCGACGGCGCCCCGAGAAUGGGCCCGACCUUCGGCGCCAUGAUGAUCUCCGGCCAGAAGGCGGCGCACCUGGCGCUCAAGGCCCUCGGCCGGCCGAACGGCAUCGACGGGACGCUCAAGAACGUGACCCCGGCGCUGCACCCGGAGAUGAUCCUGGCGGCGACCAACAACGGCGACAUCGUGGACGCCUAA